rnacentral:snRNA from 1 species
AUACUUACUUUCCUCUGAUCGUCUCAGUGAUCAUGAAUACUGAACAUCCAGGACGAGGUUUUGGCAUUGCACUACGCUAUAAACUAAAUCCUGCUUUCGCUCCAUAUCGGGGCGAAGAGAGAGGUCAAUUUGUUAGCAGCGUCUCUGCGUUCGCGCUCAGACCGU